CCUAGCAGGGAGGGUUUAGAGAGUAGAAGAGAAAACAGGAGUUGAUGUGGCUGUAGGGUAUAAACUGAAACCGAAUGUAUUUUCUUCAGGAUCUGCAGGUGCAGGUUUUGGAAUUCUUUAACUAAUCACAUUAGAAGACUUCAAAUGUGACACUGAAGAGACUGCGCUGUAUGAAGCACCAGGGAUCAAUUUUGGUUGCGCUACACAGACAUGCCUGCUCAUACAGAGCAGGAGGGAUGGGGCCAGCAGUGUGCUGAUGGAGUGGAGAGUGGGCCUGCCAGGGGCCUCCACGGACAGCAGGAUUGUUUGGCACAACUGGUUUUACAGUUUCACAUGAUAAUUGGCUGUUGCUGAGUAGCUGCCGUCACCUUUAGCUAGAGCACAAGUCUGCAAUUCGCCAGAGUCCACACCAUUCCGCAGUGGUUCCUGCCCACCGUGUGCCUGGAACACUUUGCCCAUUCACAUCGCCUGCCCAUUCCUGUAGGCAUUUGAGUUUGUCACCUGUGCUCCUUCCUGCUCCCAUGGCUUGUUGCCUGCAUAGAACAUUACCUUCCUGUUUCUUCUGUUUUUGAUGGAAUAGUUUCCUUCCUUACAUA